rnacentral:rRNA from 1 species
GGACUACCGGGGUAUCUAAUCCUGUUCGCUCCCCUAGCUUUCGCGCCUCAGCGUCAGAUGCCAGCCAGGACACUGCCUUCGCCUUUGGUAUUCCUCCGGAUAUCUACGCAUUUCACCACUCCACCCGGAAUUCUAUGUCCCUCUCUGGCCCUCAAGUCCGGCAGUUUUCAGAGGCCUUAUCCAGUUAAGCCGGAUACUGUCACUCUGAACUUACCGCACCGCCUGCACGCCCUUUACGCCCAGUAACUCCGGACAACGCUCGCCCCCUACGUAUUACCGCGGCUGCUGGCAC